CCAGUCCCCAGGGGCAUUGCAGGUAACAUGCCACGCAAGACUCCUGUGUCAUAUGUGCUUCAGAGAAGAGAGAGGCUAUAUCAGUGUCUGACCUGUGCACAUCUGGAUGGUUGGUAGCCUAACAUU